AAAGUGGAAGAUGGAAAUUACUUGGGGACAUCUAAAAGCAAAAAAACAGGAACUUCUGAAGUUAGCAAAGAGCAAAAAAUCUCGAAAAUAUCGAAAGGAUCAACAUCAGCUCCAGAAUCAGCAAAGAGGAAGAUAACAACUGUAGCAGCUCUAAUAUAUACAUAUACAUCUCUGUACACAAAUGCAAGAACUUUUGAAGUCAGCAAAGAGCAAAAAAUCUCGAAAAUAUCAAAAGGAUCAACAUCAGCUCCAGAAUCAGCAAAGAGGAAGAUAACAACUGUAGCAGGUCAAGACAAAGCACUGAUUCAGUCAUACAACAAAGAGAUAGUAGACAAACAUAAUACAUCAAAUGAAUCAGAUCUUGUGCAGGGGCAAGUCUCAAUUAUUACUGGAACACCAAAAGCAUUCCAGCCAAGUGAAUUUGAGUAUUCAAUGCAGUCAGCUGUCAAUACAACAAGAGGAGAUAAUAGAUCAGCUGACAUAAUCAUGCAGGGUGAUCAAAAUGGUGAUUCAGAUGAUUCAGAGAAUGAACAAAAUCCAGUAGACCCAUGGUCACUAGAUAUUUUAAGUAUGGCUGCAAAUGACAAGCAGCAGGAUGAUCAUGAGUCUAGAACAAAAAGGCCAACUAGACUAUGGUCUCAUUACUACAUAGAGUUACAAGCAGUCAAACUCUAUAAUGCCAAAAUAUUCAAGAAGUUCCAGGUGCAACUUAAAAAAACAACAAGACUACAACUCAAUGAGAUAGACAAAUUCAAAACCUAUGAAGUUUUCAUAGCUCUGAAUCAGACAAUUGAGGUGUAUAGACGAAGAAAGUACCUUGUUAUGAUAGACUUGGAGAAGGAAGAUUUCAGUUGCAUCUGUGCAAUGUUCCAAAAGGAUGGAUUACUGUGUUCACAUAUCUUGAAAGUUAUGCUCCACAACAACCUCAGCAGUAUACCAGACAAAUAUAUAAUUCAGAGAUGGAGAAAAAAAGAAGAAACAUCAAAACUGAAAUCUGGCAAUCAUAUCAUACCUGUUUCAGAUUGCUCAACUCUCAGGUUCAAUAUCCUCUCAAGAAGAAGUGCUGAAUUUGCUUCAAAAGGUGCCAAAACAACUGAAUCAUAUGAGUUCAUGAUGCAACAAUUUGAUAUGAUUGAUAAAGCUUGGAAAAAUAGGAGUCCAGAAGAGACAAGGCAACAGCAAAGCAGUACAGAAAACCAGAACAAUGCAAAUUCAGCUUCAGAAGUUGAUCAUGUUGAAGUAGAAAAUACAGCAGUUAAUGAACUUCAGAUAUUGGAUCCAGAGAUAGCAAAAUCAAAGGGAAGACCACAACAGCGAUACAAAACUAUUAGGGAACAAAUAGAAGAAAAACAUGUGAAUCACUGCAGUCACUGUGGAAGAACAGAUCACACAUUUCCAACCUGCCCAUUGAAACACAUAGAGUUCAAUUUAGCAAAGAAAAAAAAAAGGAAAACAAAAAACCAAGUGGAACAGGAAAAGAUUCAAGACAACAUGUUGAAGAAAUUAAAAACUCCAAGUAAAAAGAAAACUGAAGAAGCUUUGGACCGGCAGGAAGAAACAAAGCAAAUAAGAAAAGCAAAGUCAAAAUCAAACAUUAGCAGCAAGACUUAG
rnacentral:lncRNA from 1 species